rnacentral:lncRNA from 1 species
GUGAGUGUCUCAUGCUGCAGCUUCUUGGAUGCACCAGGGAAAGCCCCUGAGGGCCUUUUGCUGGGGUUUUGUGCAUGUGUCGUUGGAAGCCUUAUGCUGAAAAUGUUUAUUUCUAUUUCUACUUGAUUGUACAGUGCAAAAUUAGUAUCUGGAACCCCAUAAAUAUAUGAGGUGUUUUGUAAAGCAGUCACCCUCUUACAAAGCCCUUGGUUUGGCUCUAGCUUGACCUGUUUUGGAAUCCAGCAUACACCAAUUGAUAUAUUCUGCCAAAUAUAUAAUGAACGUGCAGAGCUGACUGUGCACCAGUGUUUUCUUCUGGCUUUUGAAAUGGCGAUCGUUCCCCUUCUGUGCUCCCAACGAAAUCAAAGCAUCUUGUAAUCCUUUGCUUGUUUUUAAGUGACAGUAGUCCUCUGUUCCCUGACAAAUAUUGCCAGCAGAAGCCUGGUAGCUCCAGACAAGGUCCUUUGAAAGAGGUGGGAGGGGAGAGAGGCUCUGCAGGCAACUUUCCAGCAGCAGCUGUGCACUAACGGCAUGGGGGUGUGGGAGGCUACUCCCGGGUUAGUAAGACAGUUCAGCAAUGCAGUGAAUGUGUGCUUGCAGUACAUGACUCCUAUUUACUUUUUUUUUAAUUCCCUGACCUUUGUCUGACCAAAUCCAUCGCCAAAAUGCAGCUGGAUGGGCAGGGGGAACAGCAGCCAGGCUGUACCAAGGAUCUCGCUGUGCUCCGUGAAACAUGUGGUGCUCCCCCAGGGAAAAUGUUUAAGUGUGCUCCAGGAUGCCUUGGUUCCCGAUGAGAGCCUCAGAACGCAGCUGAGCAUUGCUUGGGUGUGAACCUCCCAGCUUGUUUCCCUGCACAGGUUCCUCUCAGGCACAAGAUUCUGCAAGUUGUUUUGGUUGUCCUGCCAUGAAGGUAUUUUCUGCAUGCUGGAGUUUUUAAGAGUGUUGAUUUAUGUCAUUUUGGCAACAACGUGCUGAAAUUUUUCUACCAUUUUGCAACUGUUUAACCAUUUAAGCAUGUGACCAGCCUUGAUAAAUCAGUGAAGACUCUUAAAUGCUGACUGUGGGAAUCUAUGAAGAAUGAUGCCUUCAUUAUCACACCUGAAUAUGCACUGAACCUUGCUUCCCUGUCCAGAGGCACCCUCUACUCCACAGAAAACACCCUACCUGCCAUGCCUGACUUUCUUGAAUUUGAAUUUGUAUUUGCAAGGACUGUGCAUUAAGUAAAACAUCUGUGAUCUAAAGAAAAUAAUGUAGCCCUGCUAAAAACACCAAUGUGUUGUAUUCUUUAAGAGUGACUGCAUGCAUCUGCAAGAGCAGAUUUUAGAUUGCAAACAACACCUCCCCAUUUUCCAGCUGUCUUAAGCUUGCAGUGACAAAAGACCUUGCAGUGCAUAAUGAUGAGUCUAAACGAAAACAUAUAAAUAUGCCAGAUAAAUAAAAGUUUUUGCUUGCAAGAGAUCUCA